rfam:Oryzias latipes DNA, chromosome5, strain: Hd-rR.
GUCGGCUAUGGUGACAUGGUACCAACUACAAUCGGUGGCAAGAUUGUGGGCUCUCUGUGUGCCAUUGCAGGUGUGCUGACCAUUGCCCUGCCAGUGCCUGUCAUUGUGUCCAAC